rnacentral:lncRNA from 1 species
AAAACUUCUGAAGAAAUCAUGAGUGCUUCACUGACUUUACUUACCUAAAUAAUUUUUGGAAAGGGACCUGGUUUUGUUAGAAACAGAUUAUUAGGCACACUGUAUGUUUAUAUUUGCUGCCUUCUUGCUGUCAGUUAACUGCUUUGGGUGGGACAGACUAACCAGAUAAGGUUCGAGCUUCUGUUGUUGGAGAGAGAAACCAGGAUCUGAGCUGAAGGGCAUUAAUCCACAAUUAAAGGUAGGAAACAGGAGCUGUCCAUACAAGGAAAAAAAAUGGAAGCAAUGAACUAUAAUGUUCAUCUGUUCUAGGACUGGAAGCAGGCUGACAGAACAAAAAUCUAAUUUGGAAAGCAGCUGGUCACACCCAGAUUCUGGGUUAACAUACGAACUUUAAUCCCUAAGAGAAAUAUGGAAGUUAUCCCUGGAGCCAGCUAUGCAGACUGGCUGGAUAUCCAGCCUGAUGUUAUGUGUCACUUGGACUUGGAGAAGUGCUGAAUUUGAGGCAGAUCCAUGGAAGGAUGUACUGUGCCCCCUUUGCCUGGUCACUGCUUGGCAGUGUGGAAAAAAAAUGAGUUCUGACUGAAAUGUUUGUAUGGCCCAGAAAACAUUGUGGAAAACCUAGAGGCACCAAAAGGGAGCCUUCAAUACAGAAACUAACUGCAAACCUCUGGAAACACUGAAGCUCAAAACAAUGAAAAUCUCUGCAGUUAUGGCAAAGCAGAGUAUCAAAGGACAGCAAAGUCACCCUGACAGGUCAGUAGUUUAAAGUAGCUAUAAAUAAAACCUGAAUUCUCCAGUUGUGCCA